rnacentral:tRNA from 1 species
GGGCACGUAGCUCAGUGGUAGAGCGCCACCUUGACGUGGUGGAGGGCAUUGGUUCGAUACCAAUCGUGCCUAC